rnacentral:rRNA from 1 species
CCCUUAGAUGUCCUGGGCUGCACGCGCGCUACACUGGAAGUUACGGAUUGAGAUACUACCUUGUCCGAAAUGGUCCGGGUAAUCACCUAAAAGCUUGUCAUAAUUGGAAUGGAUUAUUGUAACUAGUAAUCCUGAACGAGGAAUUCCUAGUAAGUCCCAGUCAACAGCUGGUACUGAUUACGUCCCUGCCCUUUGUACACACCGCCCGUCGCUACUACUGAUUGGACGUUUAAGCAAGAUUUUUAAACACUGACAGUGUGUAGUUCACGCUAUACUACAGUGAGAAGAGGAAGAUCGAGCUUACUUGUCUAGAGGAAGUAAAAGUCGUAACA